AUAUAAUGCAGUGUGUUUGUAUAGUGUGUGUAUAUAAUGCAGUGUGUAUUUGUGUGCAUUGUAUACACACUAUACAAACACACUGCAUUAUA